AAAGAAGAUGACAGCAACUAGGAAGAGGGCAGUGGAAAGCAAAAGAGGCCAAAAGUAGGCUAAAAUGGUGAGAAAAGAAGGUGCAAAAAUGAUGAGGGCUGAAAGGGUAAGCGAAAGAGUGAGUAUUACGAUUAUGGGGUACUUCAACUUUAGCAGCUUUUCCGUGAUCUCCAUGAUCUGAAAGAUAUGGAAGAAUAUAAAAGGAUGAUAAAAGGGGCUUUUUUUGCUGUUGUUUUCAGGGGGAGAGGAGGAAGUGGUGAGUGGUGACUCAAGUGAUAGAUUCUCUCAAGCGGAAAAAUAGUGUUUUCCUUUUCAGAGGGAGGAGAAUGUGUUUAGUGUAAAACUUUGGGCUUAUUAAGGAAG
rnacentral:lncRNA from 1 species